GGCAACACAAUAUAACCAGUUUCCACCUCAUUUGUGUUCUCGGCUUGUCCAUUCGCACAACGAUAAAGUUAUCUAAAAUAAAUUAAUUUUAAUAAGUGCUACAAAACUCGUGUCAAAAUGUUGAAGAAACUGUUAAUAAUUAUGUUAUCUUUAUUAUUUGUAUUAAACACAGUUAAUGCCAGUCCAAUGCCACGAAACGACGAUCCAAACUUCGAUUUUCAGAUAGAUGAAAAUGGCAUCCCGAAGGGCUGGUUCUUUGGAAAAUGCGACGGCUGUAAAAUUCAUAACAUCGGAAACGGUGAAGGGAACACAAACACAGUCUAUAUAAAAGAUAAAUAAAUGUUUUUUAUUAAUAUA